rnacentral:rRNA from 1 species
UACGAAGGGGGCUAGCGUUGCUCGGAAUCACUGGGCGUAAAGCGCACGUAGGCGGAUUGUUAAGUCAGGGGUGAAAUCCUGGAGCUCAACUCCAGAACUGCCUUUGAUACUGGCGAUCUUGAGUCCGGGAGAGGUGAGUGGAACUGCGAGUGUAGAGGUGAAAUUCGUAGAUAUUCGCAAGAACACCAGUGGCGAAGGCGGCUCACUGGCCCGGUACUGACGCUGGAGGUGCGAAAGCGGUGGGGAGCAAACAGG